rnacentral:rRNA from 1 species
UACGGAGGGGGCUAGCGUUGUUCGGAAUUACUGGGCGUAAAGCGCACGUAGGCGGCUUUGUAAGUUAGAGGUGAAAGCCCAGGGCUCAGCCCUGGAAUUGCCUUUAAGACUGCAUCGCUUGAAUCAUGGAGAGGUGAGUGGAAUUCCGAGUGUAGAGGUGAAAUUCGUAGAUAUUCGGAAGAACACCAGUGGCGAAGGCGACUCACUGGACAUGUAUUGACGCUGAGGUGCGAAAGCGUGGGGAGCAAACAGG